rnacentral:rRNA from 1 species
CCUACGGGAGGCUGCAGUGGGGAAUAUUGCGCAAUGGGCGAAAGCCUGACGCAGCGACGCCGCGUGAGGGAUGAAGGUCUUCGGAUCGUAAACCUCUGUCAGCAGGGAAGAACGGUCACUGUGCUAAUCAGCAGUGAAUUGACGGUACCUGCAAAGGAAGCACCGGCUAACUCCGUACCAGCAGCCGCGGUAAUACGGAGGGUGCGAGCGUUAAUCGGAAUUACUGGGCGUAAAGCUCUCGUAGGCGGUAUGUCAAGUCAAGGGUGAAAUCCCCGCGCUCAACGUGGGAACUGCCUUUGAAGCUGGCAAACUGGUGUGUGUGAGAGGAUAGUGGAAUUCCAGGUGUAGGAGUGAAAUCCGUAGAUAUCUGGAGGAACAUCAGUGGCGAAGGCGACUAUCUGGCACAUAACUGACGCUGAGGAGCGAAAGCGUGGGUAGCAAACAGGAUUAGAUACCCCUGUAGUC